GCCGGGUGCGGUGGCGCGUGCCUGUAGUCCCAGCUACUCGGGAGGCUGAGGUGGGAGGAUUGCUUGAGCCCAGGAGUUCUGGGCUGUAGUGCACUAUGCUGAUCGGGUGUCCGCACUAAGUUCGACAUCAAUAUGGUGACCUCCCGGGAGUGGGGGACCACCAGGUUGCCUAAGGAGGGGUGAACCGGCCCAGGUUGGAGACGGAGCAGGUCAGAACUCCUGUACUGAUCAGUUGUGGGAUCGCGCCUGUGAAUAGCCACUGCACUCCAGCCUGGGCAACAUAGCGAGACCCUGUCUCUU
ensembl:misc_RNA Metazoa_SRP Metazoan signal recognition particle RNA